rnacentral:lncRNA from 1 species
CUCUUUACAAACCUCUCACACUAGUAGAAUGACAGUGAAGACCUUCUUUCUAAGAAAAAAAUAAAAAGCCAACAUCUCUGUGAGGACGCAUUCCCAGGGGUGUUGGCAAAUGGACCCUGAGUUCCGAACCACAACCCAAGGGUGCCUGAGCACAGGUGGGUCCUCAGGACCUCCCUUCUCUGCAGAGGCGGCCUGCCGACCACACUUCUGGGCCAGGUGGUCACGCUCGGGUUAUAGUUAAAUACCAUUUGGA